rnacentral:misc_RNA from 1 species
CUGUGAGAUUACAUAUGCAUAUAGUGUUAAUGUUAUAAGAGUGUAGUAUCUACUCACAAAGUUAUCAGGUUAAAUAGUUUUAUCAACUAAUAAAAAUGUUAUUGCAUAACUAAUGUUAUAUACUGUAGCCCUGCCACGAUAUCCAGCGAGAAUUAUUUUGCUGAGUAUCGUAGUAAAAGUUAAGAUAUGAUGUUGAGAAUUUUUUUGAGUCGUGCAACAACAUUAACAGCAAACUAUAAUACAAAUCUAUCUUUUUAAAAGUUUGUAUUGCU